rnacentral:rRNA from 1 species
GCAGUAGCCGCGGGAAAACGGAGGGGGCUAGCGUUGUUCGGAAUUACUGGGCGUAAAGCGCACGUAGGCGGCUUUGUAAGUCAGAGGUGAAAGCCUGGAGCUCAACUCCAGAAUUGCCUUUGAGACUGCAUCGCUUGAACGUCGGAGAGGUGAGUGGAAUUCCGAGUGUAGAGGUGAAAUUCGUAGAUAUUCGGAAGAACACCAGUGGCGAAGGCGGCUCACUGGACGACUGUUGACGCUGAGGUGCGAAAGCGUGGGGAGCAAACAGGAUUAGAUACCCCAGUAGUCCCUGUCUCUUAUAC